UUCUCAUCCUUCCUUUUGGCUGGUAUCAAAUGUGGUGUCUGUUUGUAUCAGUUUAAUAUCUGAUAUGUUCCCUAUCUGGUAGCAUAUAUUAAGUGCAUCACCAGGUUUCAGUGUUGGAAAGAAAGAAUACCUGUUUAUUUGCUGCAGCUGCUUGCUGGCUAGUCCAGUGGGCCCCUACUGCAGGCAAAAGACA